rnacentral:rRNA from 1 species
GGGAACCCUGAUCCAGCCAUGCCGCGUGUGUGAAGAAGGCCUUUUGGUUGUAAAGCACUUUAAGCGAGGAGGAGGCUACUGGUAUUAAUACUACCGGAUAGUGGACGUUACUCGCAGAAUAAGCACCGGCUAACUCUGUGCCAGCAGCCGCGGUAAUACAGAGGGUGCGAGCGUUAAUCGGAUUUACUGGGCGUAAAGCGUGCGUAGGCGGCUUUUUAAGUCGGAUGUGAAAUCCCUGAGCUUAACUUAGGAAUUGCAUUCGAUACUGGGAGGCUAGAGUAUGGGAGAGGAUGGUAGAAUUCCAGGUGUAGCGGUGAAAUGCGUAGAGAUCUGGAGGAAUACCGAUGGCGAAGGCAGCCAUCUGGCCUAAUACUGACGCUGAGGUACGAAAGCAUGGGGAGCAAACAGGAUUAGAUACCCUGGUAGUCCAUGCCGUAAACGAUGUCUACUAGCCGUUGGGGCCUUUGAGGCUUUAGUGGCGCAGCUAACGCGAUAAGUAGACCGCCUGG